rnacentral:rRNA from 1 species
UGGGGAAUUUUGGACAAUGGGGGCAACCCUGAUCCAGCCAUCCCGCGUGUGCGAUGAAGGCCUUCGGGUUGUAAAGCACUUUUGGCAGGGAAGAAACAGCCUGGGCUAAUAUCCCGGGCGACUGACGGUACCUGCAGAAUAAGCACCGGCUAACUACGUGCCAGCAGCCGCGGUAAUGCGUAGGGUGCAAGCGUUAAUCGGAAUUACUGGGCGUAAAGCGUGCGCAGGCGGUUCGGAAAGAAAGGUGUGAAAUCCCAGGGCUUAACCUUGGAACUGCACUUUUAACUACCGGGCUAGAGUACGUCAGAGGGGGGUAGAAUUCCACGUGUAGCAGUGAAAUGCGUAGAGAUGUGGAGGAAUACCGAUGGCGAAGGCAGCCCCCUGUGAUGAUACUGACGCUCAUGCACGAAAGCGUGGGGAGCAAACA